UCGUCUCUCCAGUUUGUUCCUCCUCCUCUCUGCCACCCUCUUAUCCACCUCUUCUUCCAGGGGCAGAUUCAUUUUCUUUGAUUGUCACUCAACAAGCUAACAAAAAAUUCAAUCAUCCUUCACCAUUUCCGCCUCUAUUACUCAUUCACCACUAAUAACAUCACCACCAUCAUAUCCAACACCACCACCAAAUUAUCCACCGUUUCACCACCAACACCAUCGCCACCACCGUAAUCAGCACCACCACCACCAUACUGAUACAAAUUUCCUAAUUUCAAUCACCGAUUUUGUCCAGCACCACCAGCAAAUUCAUCCAAAUUUAUGAGUUUCACUCACCAAUUGUGUACUCCUUUCAUAUUAGGGUUUCAACUAACUUAUUUGAACACUAAAUUACGGUAAUAACAAAGAUUGAAUUGCAGAAUUGUAGAACAGUGUGAAUUGCAGAAUUGGUUAUUUUUCUUCCCUUAAUCAGCAAGGAUGGAAGUUAACUGCAUGGAGUACAAUUCGAUCCAAAUGGUGUCACAAUUUAAGUAUCUUCAAAAAACAUCACCAAUUGGAUUAAAUAGGUUCAGAAAACAGUACCAAUUGGGUUCCAAUUAAAUGAAGGACAAGUCACUUCAUCCCCGUCAAAGUCCUAGACUAACAGAGAUACAAUGACAAAGGGAUGCUCUACUACAGGUUUGUCGAGUUUUGGAUAAAGAAAAGUACAAAUCGAUGACUGUAAAUGCAAAGGAUGCAAAUCUAUAAAGACGUCGAAAUUCUUACAAUUCGAUGACUAAACAUGAAAAGGAAGCUUAUAUACAAAGACGUUCAAAUGCUUAUCAUUUGAAGAAAACAAAAGGUGGUGGAAACACAAUUCAGGGGACAGGAAGUUGCAAGAAUAACUCUCAAGAUGGAGCUUGCGCGCACACAAUGUCACAAGUCGAGAAUAAUUUGUGGAUAGGCAUAGCAGUACGGUUAUAAUGGUGAUGGUAAAGGAGUGUCUAGGCACUUGGAUUACUGGAUAUUAGUUGAUGCAAGGUAAAGCCUCAAAAAAAAAAAAUUGUUUUCAUUCGCAAACGAAAAAAGGAAGAAGAUUUGAUUGAAACAAAACAAUGGAAUGGUCUUA